AAUCUAAGCGUUGAACGGUGUGUUUAGCGUUGCCUUAGUUUGUUCCGUUCUUAGGAGCGGUUUGUACGAUGUGCGAUGUGUUUGUUGGUCUGCUUAAUGUUUAUCCAUUCAGUGUUUUUUUUUUCAUGCACUUACUCGGUUUUAGCUUAUCAUUAUAGAUCGUAUUGCAUGCACGUGUGUAUGUGAGUGCGUAUGCCUAAGCACUCUAAAUGAAAGGUA